UACGUAGGGCGCAAGCGUUGUCCGGAAUUAUUGGGCGUAAAGAGCUCGUAGGCGGUCUGUCGCGUCUGUUGUGAAAUCUCGAGGCUCAACCUCGGGCUUGCAGUGGAUACGGGCAGACUAGAGUGCGGUAGGGGAGACUGGAAUUCCUGGUGUAGCGGUGGAAUGCGCAGAUAUCAGGAGGAACACCGAUGGCGAAGGCAGGUCUCUGGGCCGCAACUGACGCUGAGGAGCGAAAGCAUGGGGAGCGAACAGG
rnacentral:rRNA from 1 species